rnacentral:rRNA from 1 species
GACGAACGCUGGCGGCGUGCCUAAUACAUGCAAGUAGAACGCAGUUGCGAACGGGUGAGUAACGCGUAGGUAACUGCCUCAUAGCGGGGGUUAACUAUUGGAAACGAUAGCUAAUACCGCAUACUGUGCGAUGGACCUGCGUUGUAUUAGCUAGUUGGUGAGGUAAAGGCUCACCAAGGCGACGAUACAUAGCCGACCUGAGAGGGUGAGCGGCCACAAUUGGACUGGGACACGGCCCAGACUCCUACGGGAGGCAGCAGUAGGGAAACUUCGGCAAUGGACGGAAGUCUGACCGAGCAACGCCGCGGUAGGGAAGAAGGUUUUCGGGUUGUAAAGCUCUGUUGUGAGAGAAGCGUUAACUAACCAGAAAGGGACGGCUAACUACGUGCCAGCAGCCGCGGUAAUAC